UAAUGAACAAGAAUGGGAUAAAGAGUUGGCUUACAAUCGCCACUUCACACAAUGAACAUAUAAUAAAUCAUACAUCAUUCAGAGUACACACAUAGUCUGACUACGGACGAAGCCAAAAGAAAAGAAGAUAACCCAACUGCUAGAUCCCUGAUCGUCCCAACUGGGCUCCACUACUGAUCAACAUGAAACUAAACAUAGCAACAACUAAGAUCUUCGUUGAGCUCCCAUCUGAGCUCGGUUGCAUCACCUGCACUGGCAUCAUCGAGACCUGCAACUGUUGGUAGUAUCUGGUGAGUCACGAGGACUCAGCAAUCUCAAAAGCCGCGAGAUCAAGACUAUUUAAGCUUAAAGGGAAAGGAAGGGGUAAUGUGGUGAGGCUGCAGUAGCGACUAAGCAUAUAUGGUGGCUAACAUACGCAAAUAAGAGCAAGAAGAGAGCAAGAGAACGGUCGUGAACUAGCAAUGAUCAAGAAGUGAUCCUGAACUCCUACUUACGUCAAACAUAACCCAAAACCUUGUUCACUUCCCGGACUCCGCCGAAAAGAGACCAUCACGGCUACACACGCGGUUGAUGCGUUUUAAUUUGGAUCAGGUGUCAAGUUAUCUACAACCGGACAUUAACAAAUUCCCAUCUGCCUAUAACCACAGGCACGACUUUCGAAAGAUUAUACCCUGCAGGGGUGUCCCAACUUAGCCCAUCACAAGCUCUCGCGAUCAACGAAGGAAUAGACCUUCUCCCAGGAAGACCCGAUCAUACUCGGAAUCCCGGUUUACAAGACAUUUCGACAAUGGUAAAACAAGACCAGCAAAGCCGCCCGAAUGUGCCGACAAAUCCUAAUAGGAGCUGUACAUAUCUCGUUCUUAGGGCACACCGGAUUGUCCAAACUUCCGGUAGGCCAACCCAGAGUUGCCCCUGGUGGCCACCGGCGGUUGACAGGUUGGACCAACACUCACAACGAGCACUGGCCCGAGGGGGGGGGGUAAAAUAAAGAUGACCCUUGAGUCUGCAGAACCCAAGGGAAAAAGGCUUAGGUAGGCAAAUGUUAAAACCAAGGUUGGGCCUUGCUGGAGGAGUUUUAUUCAAAGCGAACUGUCAAGGGGGUCCCAUAAAUCACCCAACCGCGUAAGGAACGCAAAAUCCGGGAACAUAACACCGGUAUGACGGAAACUAGGGCGGCAAGAGUGGAACAAAACACCAGGCAUAAGGCCGAGUCUUCCACCCUUUACCAAGUAUAAGAUGCAUUAAUAAUAUAUAAGAGAUAUUGUGAUAUCCCAACAUAAUCCUGUCCAUCAUGGAGCAAUCUUCAACUUCACCUGCAACUAACAAUGCUAUAAGAGGGGCUGUGCAAAAGCGGUAACAUAGCCAAACAAUGGUUUGCAUAGGAAAGGUGUCAAAGGUUAGAGGCUGCCAUGGCAAUAUGGGAGGCAUGGUAAACAAGUGAUGGGUAACGCAGCACAGCGAUCGAACGAAGCAACUAGCAAGCAAAGAUAGAAGUGAUAUCAAGGGUAAUGGUCAUCUUGCCUGAAAUCCCGAUAGGAAGAAGAACGAGUCCAUGAAGAAGACAAACGGACGUAGUCGAACGAAUCCUCACAACCCCGGAACGAAACCAAAGCGAACGAGAGAAGCAACCGGAAAGAAGCAAACAACAUGGUAAACACACAAGCAUAAUCAUGGCAUGAUGCACAAUCAAGUAUGAUGCAUGUCCGGUUUAAAGAGGCAUGGCAUGGCAAUGCACACAAACAAUACUACAGGUUAAGUGGAGCUCAAUAUGCAACGAGUUGCAUAUUGACGGAACACCACAUCAAUAUUUAGUUCUCUCUCGGUUAUGUACCCAACAAUAUUAAAUGUUGUUAGACAUCGCAAGAGGUGAAACAUAAUUGAACUAACUAUUUAGGCAAGUUUAAGUGAGGCCGGAAACAACAAACAACAAUUCCGGAAAGUCCCCAUGUCAUUUAGCAAUUAAAGCAAACAACAAUUAUAAACAUUUUAAAAGUUGUUAUCAUGAUGCGGAUGACAUAUACAAGUUUAUGCAAUUAUUAUGAAAAUGUUGACAUCUAAUGUGAUAGGGAGCAUUUGGUCAUCAUGGCGGAACAAAAGGGGUGCCACGGCAACGAUAACGAAAAUGGUGUCACGGCAACGAUAACGAAAAUGGUGCCAUGGCAGCAUAUCCGAAAAUGGUGCCACGGCAACAUAUCGGUCCCGAUAACUCGAGGGAGAUACCGAUGCAAACGAGAAGUGUGACGUGAGCGAGUCAUGCAAGAUGGUGGGGUGCUCCCGGCUUCCGGGUUCCCACGGGACGGUGGCAUGGCAAAAGAGGGGCAUCGCAAGGACGAUUCGGUCACGGUGCAAACAUAUGGUACAUCUCAUACAACAAAGUAUUCGUUCACGGGCGUCGUCUCGGCGGUUAUACCUUUGAAGCGUGCGUUUUCGGAGCGGAACGAGUUUGAUGCGGAGUAGAUGGAAGUAGACGUUCUCGGGACGGUCGUUGUGGGAAGUAGUGGUUCACGGACGUCAUGGAAGUAGUCGUUCACGGCGACGGUAGAGGUACUCGCGAUCUUGGCAACGGUAGUCGUACAUGUUUUCGUAGAUGUACAUGUCGGUGGUAGUGGUACUUGGCGAAAAUCUGAAGAUGGCCUUGGCGGAUGCAAGCAGCAGCACAGGGCUGGCAGAGGCAACGCGUGUUCGCGCGUGGCCUGCGGUGGAGGUCAACUCCGACGGGGACGGACCACCGGAGUCAGAUCCGACCGGGGACGGGCAAGGCGGCGGAGGCCACCCGGAUCUGGACGGGGUUAGAGGAAGGCUGCGCUCCCACGGUUGAAGACGAACGGCGACGGCGCGGCAGUCUAGGAGGCAGCAGGGCACGGGGACGACAGGGGCGUGGCCGCAGGGCUCG
rnacentral:lncRNA from 1 species